GUAGGUGGCAAGCGUUGUCCGGAAUUAUUGGGCGUAAAGCGCGCGCAGGCGGUUCUUUAAGUCUGAUGUGAAAGCCCACGGCUCAACCGUGGAGGGUCAUUGGAAACUGGAGAACUUGAGUACAGAAGAGGAAAGCGGAAUUCCACGUGUAGCGGUGAAAUGCGUAGAGAUGCGGAGGAACACCAGUGGCGAAGGCGGCUUUUCUGGUCUGUAACUGACGCUGAGGCGCGAAAGCGUGGGGAGCAAACAGGGAUUAGAUACCCUGGUAGUCCACGCCGUGAACGAUGAGUGCUAAGUGUUAGGGGGUUUCCGCCCCCCUUAGUGCUGCAGCUAACGCAUUAAGCACUCCGCCUGGGAGUACGGCCGCAAGGCUG
rnacentral:rRNA from 1 species